rnacentral:lncRNA from 1 species
GGCCCAGUGCGGGGUUCCAUGGCCGGCCGGGGCUGCAGCCGGUCGGGGAACCCGGCUCGAGCCCAGGUUCCGGCGGUGCUGUCCGGAAGGGCGACGCGCUCGGCCGGCCUGCCGGCCUCCCCAGCCUGCUGCGCCGCUCGCCCGAUCGCGCCAGCAAAGCCCGGGCGAGCGCGCCCGGCCCGACGCCGAGACCCGGGCCCUGCGGGAAGGACCGGGGCUCGCCGAGGCCGGGCUCCGGGGCAGCGCCGGUUCUCCGCUCCGAGGCCAGGCCCGCCCCGGCGCCCUGACUCCGCGCAGCCCCUCUGGCGCGCAGGCGGUCGCCGCAGCCCCGCUCCCUGCGCGAGUGAACGGAGGCGCCGAGCUAGGGGCUGGCGUCCACCCCUCGCCUCCCCGGGGCUCCCCAGGGCGCCCUUCUAGGAGAGAGAGCCAACGAAGAGUGGUGGUGUAAAAUUCAAAGCGAAAACACAAUUUACAGUGUUACAGCUUCACGAACAUUACUUUAAAAUACAGGGUAAUUGUAGAGGAUGUGAGUAUUUACUUGUAGAACAGUACCGGGAUGAGGGGAGUUGCUCUCCGAUUGGACCUGCGCGUAAGGAGCGUGAACUCACCUUUUUCAUAGUCAGUGUUUGGUACAAUGCCCAGACCCUACCAGCUACUCAGGAGGUACUUCUAGAAAGAAUAAGGACUCCAGGCCAGGCCAGUGGAAGCACAGACAGCUGUUUGUCUAGAUGUGUGGACUGGGGUCACCUGUUCUGAAAUCCACUUGCGAAGUGUUCCGGGUUGCAGCCCUCCGCCUGCUCACCCUGGACAACCCACUCCUCUCCACGUUCUGCUUAUUGAAAGCCACUGCAUAUUGUGCCUGAUAACCCCAAGCUGAAAAAAAGAAGAAAGGAGGAGGAAUUCCAAAGGAGCUUGCUUUCACCAGAGGAAAUGCAUUCCGAAUCUGACUAACGUGGGUAUGGACCAAAUUUCUGUGAUAUUAGUCUGUGAAAACAGAAGUCUACUUCGAGAAAGAGAGAUGUUCAACUUGGCUCAAUUCAGAUCUUAUCUCUGUUGGUGCAACUUGCUCAUUCCCGUGAAACUUUGGCACACUUAGACGAGUCAAAAAUCUGCAUGAUUGAUCUGCUAACACAUCUGCACCAGUAAGUACGUCUGUUUCUCUGAUGCAAAGCUAGCUAAAGUUUUUCUCCAUAAAGUGUUUUUUAUGACAUGUUGAACAUUGACCUGUGUCUUUGAGAAACAAGUGACCAAAACUAAAUCCCCC